GAUGAACGCUGGCGGCGUGCUUAACACAUGCAAGUCGAACGGUGAACACGGAGCUUGCUCUGUGGGAUCAGUGGCGAACGGGUGAGUAACACGUGAGCAACCUGCCCCUGACUCUGGGAUAAGCGCUGGAAACGGCGUCUAAUACUGGAUAUGUGACGUGACCGCAUGGUCUGCGUUUGGAAAGAUUUUUCGGUUGGGGAUGGGCUCGCGGCCUAUCAGCUUGUUGGUGAGGUAAUGGCUCACCAAGGCGUCGACGGGUAGCCGGCCUGAGAGGGUGACCGGCGACACUGGGACUGCGACACGGCCCAGACGCCUACGGGAGGCAGCGGUGGGGAAUAUGGCACAAUGGGGGCAAGCCUGAUGCGGCAACGCCGCGUGAGGGAUAACGGCCUUCGGGUUGUAAACCUCUUUUAGCAGGGAAAAGGCGAAAGUGACGGUACCUACAGAAAAAGCGCCGGCUAACUACGUG
rnacentral:rRNA from 1 species